GGAUGGGUCGCAUAGGGGGACGAGUGCUCCCGCUUGCUAAGCGGGCGUGCCGCAAAGGCACCGCGGGUUCGAAUCCCGCCCCAUCCGCCA
rnacentral:tRNA from 1 species